GCCUACGGCCAUACCACGUUGAACACACCGGUUCUCGUCCGAUCACCGAAGUCAAGCAACGUCGGGCCCGGUUAGUACUUGGAUGGGUGACCGCCUGGGAACACCGGGUGCUGUAGGCA
rnacentral:rRNA from 1 species